GACGAAGGGGGCUAGCGUUGUUCGGAAUUACUGGGCGUAAAGCGCGUGUAGGCGGGUAUCCAAGUCGGGGGUGAAAGCCUUGAGCUCAACUCAAGAAAUGCAUUCGGUACUGGGUGACUAGAGGACCGGAGAGGAUAGUGGAAUUCCCAGUGUAGUGGUGAAAUACGUAGAGAUUGGGAAGAACACCAGUGGCGAAGGCGGCUAUCUGGACGGUUUCUGACGCUAAGACGCGAAAGCGUGGGGAGCAAACAGG
rnacentral:rRNA from 1 species